UGUAUGGAGGGUUUGCAAGUGGCAAGCACUGUUUUACUUCCUGGAGUUAGUGAGCAAAGCCCUGGCUCUCCUGAGAUUUACUUAAUAAAUAGUACAGAGAUUAAAAACAAACUUUAUAAGAUGGAUGCUCAGGACACACAUCCUUCCCUUAAAAGAUGAUGUUGUUUGCUCUUGGAACAGAAACACUACUGUGAAAUAAUUCACCUUUCUGAAAGGCUGGAAGGUGAAGGCUCAGAACAUACUGCACCAGAAUCCAGAGUAAAAAGUAAAAUACCAGAGAUCAGUGUAUGCAGGUGUCUAACCACUGGACACACCCAAAUAACAUUAAAUGUAUCCCUUUCUACUUUUUAA